ensembl:lincRNA
AUAUACAAUAGCGUAUGUGAUGCUCCUAACUGCUACUGACAUAUUCCAUGUCAGUUCUUACAUUUUAGCAUCCAUUGUUUUCACAAGGUAUUUCUGUGUAUUUUGUUUUUGUUUUUUUUUUUAAUAAGUGAUGGUUUUAUUGGUAAAAGUAAACAGAUAGUGUAUGAAGUUAUUUCAGAUGACAGAUUUAGUUGUUUUCUUUACAAGUAAAAGCUGCAAUUACCAUAUUAAAACUUUAAUGCAGGCUAUCUACAUAUGGAGCUUUAGCCUCAGGCCUGGAGCAGCUGUGAAAUGAAAGUUACCACACCAUUCUAGUCCUUGGAUAUCAGUAUAUUGUCCUUCACCUUCCACCCUGUUUCCACUGAAAUUUCCAGUGUACUUUGCCCCAGUUGGGAAUGUAUAAGUUCCCAGUCCAUGAAACAUAUUGUCCUUAAAGUGUCCUUCAUAUAUUGCUCCUGAAAAAUGCUCAAGUCUUCCAAAACCAUUCAUCUUGUCAUCUUUCCAGCUUCCUGUGUAGACAAUCCCAUUAGGAGUGGUAUGAAUACCUAUUCCAUUUCUCUCAAUGACUCCAGAAGAUGUUCUUGUACAGUCCCUAUUUGACAUAGGGCUGCGGGAGAGAUUUUUUGGACUCUGUGAUUCUCCCUGGGCCGCCAGCUCGGUGGCCUGGAGGGAAGAAGCCCUAGUUCAGCGCCGGGUGCGACAUGGUUGCUCAUUUCUGUGUAUUUUGGAGGAAAUUGUUUUCUGGUCGGCUCUGAGUAUCUCAGCUAUAAACUGGGACACUUCAACUGUCAGAGAAUUAACAUGUUUAUGGAACUAAUCUGUCACUAAUCUGGUGUACAAAAUUUCUCUUGUUCCUCUGCCAAGCCUAUGCAUCAUGCUUUUAGUUGAAAAUGUUCUGAAAUUUAUACUUUAUGCUUUGUCAUUAUCCAAACAGAAAAAACCCUUGUGUGGAAAAUACUGAAAGUGAAAGUGAAGUCGCUCAGUCAUGUCCGACUCUUUACGACCCGUGGACUGUAGCCCACCAAGCUCCUCCGUCCAUGGGAUUCUCCAGGCAAGAAUAUUGGAGUGGGUUGCCAUUUCCUUCUCCAGGGGACAUUCCUGAUCCAGGGAUCGAACCCAGGUCUCCUGCAUUGCAGGCAGAUGCUUUAACCUCUGCACCACCAGGGAAGCCCUUAUGGAAAAUGCUUCUGUCCUCAAGGCUUCAGGGAAGAGACAGCACCUGUUUCUCAAGAAGGGACGUGGUCCUGGUGAAUGCUAUUGCUUGCCCUGGUGAUGAUGGUGAUGUUCUUCGGGGUGCUGACUGGGUAAUGGUGGGAGGAUCUACAAAUCCAAAGAUCAUCUUCCUGCUUCUCUAGAACAAACUAGAGACCACUGGAGUGAGGGAAAAAGAAGUGGGCCCUGCAGAUUCUUAAAUUUCCCUUCCAUCAGAUUCAAAAGCUGAAUUUGAAAAUAUCUAAGGUUCCUUGUACAUUUGUGUGCUUAAUAUAUAGUUUAGUGAAGGCAAAUUAUUAUUCUUGAACACGUUUUUUGUUCUUGUUUUGAAUGAAACAAAACACCAUUUUGAAAAAGAAACUGCCAAGUUUUUUCUUUUGUCUUUUUCAAUGCUACACUUACUUGUGGCAAACAGUAGGGGUCAGACAAAGAAUAGCUGUAUUUUUCCAGCCGAGUUCAAACUUCAGUUGUCAUUGACUUAACUGGUGUAAAGAUUCUAAACUCAGCCAAAUCCUGUGUGCUGUGGAUAUUUAGACAUGAAUUUUUUUUAAAGAUGAAGUCACCUGAGUUCAUUUAACUAAACUCGAUGAGAAUAUCACACAAUUUUGAAAAAUACAGUGGCCUGAUCAUUGUGAGAAAGCUCCACUAGACCAGAGCAAAAGUUAUUCUUGCUUAGUUGUAAAUGUAGCAUUAAGUGGGAAAUGUAACAGCAGAAACACUGGAUUAGGGAGCUGGGAACACAUGGCAGAUGGGUCCCACAGGGUUCUUUUUUAUCAUUUAGCACAAACAAGCUAUGCUUGUUUCAGCAGUGAGAUGAGAGGUGUUCUAAAGGGCAAUGUCUGGGAGCAGAGAGUGGGAACCACCAAGUGAACCACUGAGGCCAACUCAGAGAUUGGGAGAAUAUUUUUAAACUUUUUUUUUCCUGGAGUAUAGCCAAUUAGGGGCUUCCCUGGUGGGUCAGCAGGUAAAAAAUCUGUCUGCAAUGUGGGAGACCUAGGUUCAAUCUCUGGGUCUGAAAAGCCCCUCAAGAAGGGAAUGGCAACCCAUUACCAGUAUUCUUGCCUGGAAAAGUCCAUGGACAAAGGAACCUGGUGGGUUAUAGUCCAUAGGGUUGCAAAGAGUUGGACCUAACUGAACACACACACACAUAGCCAAUUAGCAAGGUUGUGAUAGUUUCAGGUGAGCAGCAAAAGGACUCAGUAAUAUAUAUACAUGUACCUAUUUUCCCCCAAACUCCCCUCCCAGCCAGGCUGCCACAUAACACUGAGUGGAGUUCCCUGUGUUAUACAAUAUGUCCUUGUUGGUUAUCCAUUUGAAAUAUAGCGACGUGUGCAUGUCAAUCCCAAACUCCCUAACUAUCCGUUCUCCCCAUCCUUCCCUCCAGCAACCAUAAGUUCAUUCUUGAAGUCUGGGAAUAAGUGGAGAAUUAAAAAAAAAACAACAACAAAAAACUCUUGAUGUCAAUGGCAACACAGUAAAGAUAUUUACCUUUUAAACUAUUAUAAUAGGUAAAUUCCACGUGAUUUUAGACACAGGACAAAACUAACUCAAUGAGCAUUUUAUUAAAAGGAAAGUUUUCAAGAUGGACAGAGUUGCAUCAUCAAUAGAAAUUCUUUAAAAGAUUUAAAAGACGAUGGGUGAGUAUGAGAAGUCUUUUCUUUGUCAGUGUGCUCAAAAGUAGGAAAGGAAGGCUAAUUGUACCCUUGGGAAUUGUUGUUCAGUCACUAAGUUGUGUCUGACUCUUUGUGACCCUGUGGACUGCAGCAGGCCAGGAUUCCCUGUCUUUCACCAUCUCCCAGAGCUUGCUCAGAUUCAUAUCCAUUGAGUCUGUGAUGUCAUCCAACCAUCUCAUCCUCUGUCUCCCCCUUCUCCUCUGUCCUCAAUCUUUCCCACCUUUCAGCAUCAAGGUGUUUUCCAAUGAGUCAGCCCUUCGUAUCAGGUGGCCAAGGUACUGGAGCUUCAGCUUCAGCAUUGAUCCUUCCAAUGAAUAUUUCAUGGUUGUUUUCCUUUAGACUGACUGGCUUCAUCUUGCUGUCUAAGGGACUCUUAAGAGUCUUCUCCAGUGCCACAAUUUGAAAGCGUUCAGCAUCAGCCCUUCCAAUGAACAUUCAGGGUUGAUUUCCUUUAGAAUUGGCUGGUUUGAUCUCCUUGCUGUCCAGGACUCUGAAGAGUCUUCUCUAGCACCACAAAUCGAAAGCAAGGGACUCUGAAGAGUCUUCUCUAGGACCACAAAUCGAAAACAUCAGUUCUUCAGUGCUCAGCUAUACUUCAUCACAGGUUUUUUUUUUUUUUUGCUCUAACCCUUUGAAUGAUUUUUUAAAAACUAUAAUUUUGCAGUUAAACAAUGAUUUAAUUAGAAUUACACUUCGAAUUUGCAAUGAUUUCCUUUAAGGAAAGACUUUUCCCAUCUUUGCCACAUUUAAUAUUGUACUAAAUGCCCCAUGUACUUAAACUUUUUUUCCAAGUGUGCUGCAUUUUUGCAAUCUUUAUAAUCAAAGAACCUGGCUGCAUUUCUUUGCUAAGGAAGCACAUUUGCUCAGUGCAUAAUAAGUGCUGAUCUAGAACACUCUAGAUUUUUCUUCACAACUGAUAUGAGGAAAUUUUCCUCAACUUAGCAUAUUGAUUUUAUGGUUCCAAUCUUAAAAUCACAGGCCUGGGAAGCACCUUGAGAAGCAACUAUAUUCAGUUCCCCUGACUCCUCAGAGAACCAAAGAACUUGGCAUGGAGAGAUCCUACGAUUGUCUUCAGGGGCCCUGUGUUUAAUAAUCCAUAAGAUUCUCAGAAAAGUUUUGUUAUAUCCAUGUUAAAUUACCAACGGUGCAUAGAUUUUGCGUUUCAAUCCUAAGUAACUGGAAUAAAUUACUUUUUCUAACAAAACAGACAUCCACAUAGGACCUGAAGAAGUGCUGUCUAUGUGAAACAAACUGAAAAUAUUACUUUUCUGGGCCAGAGCAAGAGAUUUUCAAUCAAGUGCCCCCACCUCCAUAAAGUGUCUAUGUGGCAGUAAGCUGGACAAAAAUCGCAUGAUCUGAGACGCAACCCUCUUGGACUUGCGCGAGUAAUAUUAGCAAUAGGACUGACAGCGCAAUAUAAACUAUACCUGGAGUCAGAUACACUGGCAGGGUGAUGGGUCAGGCAAAGAGACAGCAAUUUCAAGUUCAUCUUAGCAAGUACUCUGAGUCUCAGCAGACAUACCCAGGCUCAGCCAAUCUCCCCCACCCACAUACUCCUGUAAGUCAUUUCUGGAGCAAGACCUUCUUUUUUCUGCUUAUUCUCUAGAUGCUAGUUUGCCUGAUAUUUGACCUUGACACAUCUGAUGAUUUCUGAUAGUGGAUAGUCAAACGUUUACAGAACAGGCAGAAACUAGACUGAUUUGCCUGGUGGUUCAGGGAAGGAUGUCAUUCUUCUCUACUCCAUCAAAGGUGGAGAAGAAGAUGGGAUAAAGGAUGGUGGUCUGUGUAGUUAAAGCUAUGGUCUUCUGGUACUCAUGUAUGGACGGAUGUGAGAGGUGGACCAUAAAGAAGGCUGAGCACUGAAAAAUUGCUUUCAAAUUGUGGUGCUAGAAAAGACUCUUGAGAGUCCUUUGGACAGCAAGGAGAUCAAACCAACCAACCCUGAAUAUUCAAUGGAAAGACUGAUGCUGAAGUUACAGUAUUUUGUCCACCUGAUUAGAAGACCUUACUCGUUGGAAAAGACCCUGAUGCUGGGAAAGAUUGAGGGCAGAAGGACAAGAGGGCAGCAGAGGAUGAGAUGAGUGGACAGCAUCAGCGACUCAAUGGCCAUGAACUUGGGGAAACUCCGGGAGAUACUGAGGGACAAGGAGGCCUGGCAUGCUGCAGUCCAUAGGGUCACAAAGAGUUGGACAUGGCUUAGAGACUGAACAAAAAGAAGGAUCAUGGACAGCACAUGGGGCAGUGGCCACAGAACAUGCAGUAGACCAGUUGUGAAGAGUAACAAACUUUCAUUGUCCUAAGCCUUUGAGAUGUUAGGUUGUUGCUGACCACUAUAUGAUAACCCCUUCUGACCAACGCAGUAUUGACUCCCAAUAUGGAAAUGUUGCAUUCUGCUUUUCUAACUUCCCACGAUGUCAUUAGUAUUUUCUCCAUUUUACAAUAUUUAAAAAUAGUCAUCUUUUUAAAAGUGAAGUUAUAGAAGAUAAUAAUCACUGAGGGAGAUGCAUCAUCAUUCAUUUAAUUAAUUUCUUAUGGUCAAUUGAGGCUUCCCAGGUGGCACAAAUGAUAAAGAAUCUGCCUGAAAUGUGGGAUACCUGGAUUUGGACCCUGGGUCAGGAAGAUCCCCUGGAGAAAGAAAUGGCAACCCACUCCAGUAUUCUUGCCUGGAGAGUCCCACGGACAGGAGUCUGGAGGGCUACAGUCCAUAGGGUUGCAAAGAAUUGGACACAACUGAGCAAUUAACACUUUCACUUAUGGUCUAUUAUUUACACCUUUACAUAUCUCCCCUGC